rnacentral:rRNA from 1 species
GACGUAGGGGGCCAGCGUUGUUCGGAUUUACUGGGCGUAAAGGGCGCGUAGGCGGCCAGCACAAGUCAGUUGUGAAAUCUCCGGGCUUAACUCGGAAAGGUCAACUGAUACUGUGCGGCUAGAGUGCGGAAGGGGCAACUGGAAUUCUCGGUGUAGCGGUGAAAUGCGUAGAUAUCGAGAGGAACACCUGCGGCGAAGGCGGGUUGCUGGGCCGACACUGACGCUGAGGCGCGAAAGCCAGGGGAGCGAACGGG